rnacentral:rRNA from 1 species
AGAGUUUGAUCAUGGCUCAGAACGUACGCUGGCGGCACGCCUAACACAUGCAAGUCGAACGAAGUAGCAAUACUUAGUGGCAGACGGGUGAGUAACAUGUGGGUAUCUGCCCUUUGGCCUGGAAUAACACGAGGAAACUUGUGCUAAUACCGGAUAAGUCUUUACAGAGAAAGCUUUAUGCACCAUUGGAUGAGCCCGCACUUGAUUAGUUUGUUGGUGGGGUAAUGGCCUACCAAGACUUUGAUCAAUAGCUGAUUUGAGAGGAUGAUCAGCCACAUUGGGACUGAGACACGGCCCAAACUCCUACGGGAGGCAGCAGUGGGGAAUCUUGCACAAUGGAGGAAACUCUGAUGCAGCGAUGCCGCGUGAGUGAAGAAGGCCUUUGGGUUGUAAAGCUCUUUCGUCGGGGAAGAAAAUGACUGUACCCGAAUAAGAAGGUCCGGCUAACUUCGUGCCAGCAGCCGCGGUAAUACGAAGGGACCUAGCGUAGUUCGGAAUUACUGGGCUUAAAGAGUUCGUAGGUGGUUGAAAAAGUUGGUGGUGAAAUCCCAGAGCUUAACUCUGGAACUGCCAUCAAAACUUUUCAGCUAGAGUUUGAUAGAGGAAAGCAGAAUUUCUAGUGUAGAGGUGAAAUUCGUAGAUAUUAGAAAGAAUACCAAUUGCGAAGGCAGCUUUCUGGAUCAUUACUGACACUGAGGAACGAAAGCAUGGGUAGCGAAGAGGAUUAGAUACCCUCGUAGUCCAUGCCGUAAACGAUGUGUGUUAGACGUUGGAAAUUUAUUUUCAGUGUCGCAGCGAAAGCGAUAAACACACCGCCUGGGGAGUACGACCGCAAGGUUAAAACUCAAAUGAAUUGACGGGGACCCGCACAAGUAGUGGAGCAUGUGGUUUAAUUCGAAGAUACGCGCAGAACCUUACCAACACUUGACAUGUUCGUCGCGACUUUAAGAGAUUAAAGUUUUCGGUUCGGCCGGACGAAACACAGGUGCUGCAUGGCUGUCGUCAGCUCGUGUCGUGAGAUGUUGGGUUAAGUCCCGCAACGAGCGCAACCCUCACUUUUAGUUGCCAUCAUUAAGUUGGGCACUCUGAAAGAACUGCCAGUGAUAAGCUGGAGGAAGGUGGGGAUGACGUCAAGUCCUCAUGGCCCUUACGUGUUGGGCUACACACGUGCUAC